UACGGGGGGGGCAAGCGUUGUUCGGAAUUACUGGGCGUAAAGGGCUCGUAGGCGGCCAACUAAGUCGGACGUGAAAUCCCCAGGCUCAACCUGGGAACUGCGUCCGAUACUGGAUGGCUUGAAUCCGGGAGAGGGAUGCAGAAUUCCAGGUGUAGCGGUGAAAUGCGUAGAUAUCAGGAGGAACACCGGUGGCGAAGGCGGGUCUCUGGGCAGUAACUGACGCUGAGGAGCGAAAGCGUGGGGAGCGAACAGG
rnacentral:rRNA from 1 species